UGAUUGAUUAUCUCGCGAUAAAGCAACUACGCAGCCAAUUUCCUGUUUUUUCUUCUUCAACCACGACGAGGCGAGAAGGACUUGAUGAUCGGGGGCAAUUUGUUGUACAAAAAGUUGACGAACUACUACAAAUCUGCUGUUUGGUGAGGUAAUGCACAAUGAAAAUAGGCACAUAUCUGGAUGGAGACUAUCUGAUUCCUCAACCAUGGCCUCAGCUUUAAAUUCACCAGUUCCAAAUUCUGCAUUAUCAUCCCAGUCCCAGAGGACACCCCAUUAAUUUCCUAAUGUUGUCUUGCCUCUUGACCGCUGCAUUCGGGAGAGAACACAGAAGUGAGGAUGCUGUGAUUGUGACGAGGUGGAGCCCAAACGCCACAGAUUAAGAUGUUGAUGCAGCAAUGGCGAACACCUGAAGCACACUCAAGAAGAGCUGGAUAUAAAAAUAGCCAUAAA